rnacentral:rRNA from 1 species
GGUUAAGCGACUAAGCGUACACGGUGGAUGCCCUGGCAGUCAGAGGCGAUGAAGGACGUGCUAAUCUGCGAUAAGCGUCGGUAAGGUGAUAUGAACCGUUAUAACCGGCGAUUUCCGAAUGGGGAAACCCAGUGUGUUUCGUCACACUAUCAUUAACUGAAUCCAUAGGUUAAUGAGGCGAACCGGGGGAACUGAAACAUCUAAGUACCCCGAGGAAAA